UGUAUACUCCCUCCGUCCAACAAAAAAUGUUUCAAGUUUGUUAAAAUUUAGAUGUAUCUAAUGUGUAGAUGCAUUUAAAUUUGGUCAAACUUGAGACAUACUUUGUUGGACGGAGGGAGUAUCAA
rfam:Brachypodium distachyon strain Bd21 chromosome 3, whole genome shotgun sequence.